rnacentral:rRNA from 1 species
AUUGAACGCUGGCGGCAGGCCUAACACAUGCAAGUCGAACGAGUGGCGGACGGGUGAGUAAUGACUGGGAAACUGCCUGAUGGAGGGGGAUAACUACUGGAAAAGGUAGCUAAUACCGCAUACCAUCGGAUGUGCCCAGAUGGGAUUAGCUAGUAGGGGGGGUAACGGCUCACCUAGGAGACGAUCCCUAGCUGGUCUGAGAGGCGGACCAGCAACACUGGAACUGAGACACGGUCCAGACUCCGACGGGUGGCAGGAGUGGGGAAUAUUGCACAAUGGGCGAAAGCCUGAUGCAGCCAUGCCGCGUGUAUGAAGAAGGCCUUCGGGUUGUAAAGUACUUUCAGCGGGGAGGCGUUACCCGCAGAAGAAGCACCGGCGAACUCCGUGCCAGCAGCCGCGGUAAUGC